rnacentral:rRNA from 1 species
AUUGAACGCUGGCGGCCGGCCUAACACAUGCCAGUCGAGCAAGCGGCGGACGGGGGAGGAAUGCCUGGGAAUUUCCCAGUCGGAGGGGAUAACAGUUGGAAACGACUGCUAAUACCGCCAACGAUUGGAUUGGCCCGGUGGGAUUAGCUAGUUGGUGGGGUAAUGGCUCACCAAGGCGACGAACCCUAGCUGGUCUGAGAGGAUGAUCAGCCACACUGGAACUGAGACACGGUCCAGACUCCUACGGGAGGCAGCAGUGGGGAAUAUUGCACAAUGGGGGAAACCCUGAUGCAGCCAUGCCGCGUGUGUGAAGAAGGCCUUCGGGUUGUAAAGCACUUUCAGCGAGGAGGCGUUACUCGCAGAAGAAGCACCGGCUAACUCCGUGCCAGCAGCCGCGGUAAUUC